rnacentral:rRNA from 1 species
AGUGAGAGCGUACACAGGUGCUGCAUGGCUGUCGUCAGCUCGUGUCGUGAGAUGUGGGUUAAGUCCCGCAACGAGCGCAACCCUGCAUUCAGUUGCCAUCGGUAAGGCCGGGGCACUCUGGAUGGACUGCCGGCGACAAGCCGGAGGAAGGUGGGGACGACGUCAAGCCAUCAUGGCCCUUAUGUCCAGGGCGACACACGUGCUACAAUGGCCGGCACAACGGGAAGCGAAGGGGCGACCCUGAGCGGAUCCCACAAAAGCCGGUCCCAGUUCGGAUUGCAGUCUGCAACUCGACUGCAUGAAGUUGGAAUCGCUAGUAAUCGUGGAUCAGCCAAGCCGCGGUGAAUACGUUCCCGGGCCUU